rnacentral:rRNA from 1 species
UGCCAGCCGCCGCGGUAAUACGGAGGGUGCAAGCGUUGUCCGGAUUUAUUGGGUUUAAAGGGUGCGUAGGCGGUCCGUUAAGUCAGUGGUGAAAUCCCUCAGCUCAACUGAGGAACUGCCAUUGAUACUGGCGGACUUGAGUACGGACGAGGUAGGCGGAAUUUAUGGUGUAGCGGUGAAAUGCAUAGAUACCAUAAAGAACACCGAUAGCGAAGGCAGCUCACUGGGCCGAUAUUGACGCUGAGGCGCGAAGGCGUGGGUAGCGAACGGGAUUAGAUA